UGCGGUUUAAUUGGACUCAACGCCGGGCAGCUCACCGGAUAAGACAGCUGGAUGAUAGCCGGGCUGAAGACUCUGCUUGACUAGCUGAGAGGAGGUGCAUGGCCGUCGUCAGUUCGUACUGUGAAGCAUCCUGUUAAGUCAGGCAACGAGCGAGACCCACGCCAACAGUUGCCAGCAUGUCCUCCGGGAUGAUGGGGACACUGUUGGGACCGCCUCUGCUAAAGAGGAGGGAAGGGAAUGGGCAACGGUAGGUCAGCAUGCCCCGAAUUAUCCGGGCUACACGCGGGCUACAAUGGUCAGGACAAUGGGUAUCGACACCGAGAGGUGGAGGCAAUCUCCUAAACCUGUCCUUAGUUCGGAUUGUGGGCUGCAACUCGCCCACAUGAAGCUGGAAUCCGUAGUAAUCGCGUUUCAAAAUAGCGCGGUGAAUAUGUCCCUGCUCCUU
rnacentral:rRNA from 1 species